UAGGGAAUCUUCCGCAAUGGGCGAAAGCCUGACGGAGCAACGCCGCGUGAGUGAUGAAGGUCUUCGGAUCGUAAAACUCUGUUAUUAGGGAAGAACAAAUGUGUAAGUAACUAUGCACGUCUUGACGGUACCUAAUCAGAAAGCCACGGCUAACUACGUGCCAGCAGCCGCGGUAAUACGUAGGUGGCAAGCGUUAUCCGGAAUUAUUGGGCGUAAAGCGCGCGUAGGCGGUUUUUUAAGUCUGAUGUGAAAGCCCACGGCUCAACCGUGGAGGGUCAUUGGAAACUGGAAAACUUGAGUGCAGAAGAGGAAAGUGGAAUUCCAUGUAGAGCGGUGAAAUGCGCAGAGAUAUGGAGGAACACCAGUGGCGAAGGCGACUUUCUGGUCUGUAACUGACGCUGAUGUGCGAAAGCGUGGGGAUCAAACAGG
rnacentral:rRNA from 1 species